CAUAGGUUAAUGAGGCGAACCGGGGGAACUGAAACAUCUAAGUACCCCGAGGAAAAGAAAUCAACCGAGAUUCCCCCAGUAGCGGCGAGCGAACGGGGAGCAGCCCAGAGCCUGAAUCAGUGUGUGUGUUAGUGGAAGCGUCUGGAAAGGCGCGCGAUACAGGGUGACAGCCCCGUACACAAAAAUGCACAUGCUGUGAGCUCGAUGAGUAGGGCGGGACACGUGGUAUCCUGUCUGAAUAUGGGGGGACCAUCCUCCAAGGCUAAAUACUCCUGACUGACCGAUAGUGAACCAGUACCGUGAGGGAAAGGCGAAAAGAACCCCGGCGAGGGGAGUGAAAAAGAACCUGAAACCGUGUACGUACAAGCAGUGGGAGCACGCUUAGGCGUGUGACUGCGUACCUUUUGUAUAAUGGGUCAGCGACUUAUAUUCUGUAGCAAGGUUAACCGAAUAGGGGAGCCGAAGGGAAACCGAGUCUUAACUGGGCGUUAAGUUGCAGGGUAUAGACCCGAAACCCGGUGAUCUAGCCAUGGGCAGGUUGAAGGUUGGGUAACACUAACUGGAGGACCGAACCGACUAAUGUUGAAAAAUUAGCGGAUGACUUGUGGCUGGGGGUGAAAGGCCAAUCAAACCGGGAGAUAGCUGGUUCUCCCCGAAAGCUAUUUAGGUAGCGCCUCGUGAAUUCAUCUCCGGGGGUAGAGCACU
rnacentral:rRNA from 1 species